GAACAUCACCCAGAUGAUAUCUCACAGGAUGAACUCUCCGGCAACAUCGUCGGGGAAAAAACCAAAGGGCAGAGAACCCGACGGUGAGCAAGGAAUGCAUCGAGAGCAGAACAUCGCCAACAAUUGGCAGAACAGCUCCUGAUCAUGAACCUAGACAAAGCUUUUGAGGCUGUGCAAAUGCGGCAACACAUGACGCCCCUCGCCACAGUCUCUUCCAUUGACCUCACCACUCGUG
rnacentral:lncRNA from 1 species